rnacentral:rRNA from 1 species
UACGAAGGGGGCUAGCGUUGUUCGGAAUUACUGGGCGUAAAGCGCGCGUAGGCGGUUUUGCAAGCCAGAGGUGAAAUGCCUGAGCUCAACUUAGGAAUUGCCUUUGGGACUGCGAGGCUUUGAGGACUGGAGAGGUGAGUGGAAUUCCCAGUGUAGAGGUGAAAUGCGUAGAGAUCCGGAAGAACACCGGUGGCGAAGGCGGUCUGCUGGGCAGUAGCUGACACUGAGGCGCGACAGCGUGGGAGCAAACAGG